rnacentral:rRNA from 1 species
CCCGCACAAGCGGUGGAGCAUGUGGUUUAAUUCGACGGCAAUCGAAGAACCUUACCAGGGUUUGAAAUGUAUCUGCAUGCCCUAUGAAAAUAGGGAGGCCUUCGAGGGUGAUACACAGGUGCUGCAUGGCCGCCGUCAGCUCGUGUCGUGAGAUGUAGGGUUAAGUCCCGAAACGAGCGCAACCCCUAUUCUAUGUUACAAGUGUCUUAGAAAACCGCCUCGGUAAAACGAGGAGGAAGGUGGGGAUGACGUCUGGUCCGCAUAGCCCUUAUGUCCUGGGCUACACACGCGCUACAAUGGCCGAUACAGUAGGAAGCCAAAUCGUAAGAUGGAGCUAAUCCUUAAAGUCGGUCUCAGUUCGGAUUGAGGUCUGAAAUUCGACCUCAUGAAGUUGGAUUUGCUAGUAAUCGUAGAUCAGCAAUGCUACGGUGAAUACGUUCUCGGGUCUU